rnacentral:antisense_RNA from 1 species
AUAGAGCAACAGCUUCUAUGCAGUUUCUUGUUAGCCCCGGUAAUCUUUCUGUACUCGCCAAAGUUAAAGAAGAUUAUCGGGGUUUUUGCUU